CCUACGGGUGGCAGCAGUGGGGAAUAUUGCACAAUGGGGGAAACCCUGAUGCAGCGACGCCGCGUGAGUGAAGAAGUAAUUCGUUAUGUAAAGCUCUAUCAGCAGGGAAGAAAAUGACGGUACCUGAGUAAGAAGCCCCGGCUAAAUACGUGCCAGCAGCCGCGGUAAUACGUAUGGUGCAAGCGUUAUCCGGAUUUACUGGGUGGAAAGGGAGCGCAGGCGGCGCGUUAAGCCUGGUGUGAAAGCCCGCGGCCCAACCGCGGGACUGCAUUGGGAACGGGCGCGCUGGAGUGCCGGAGGGGUAGGCGGAAUUCCUAGUGUAGCGGUGAAAUGCGUAGAUAUUAGGAGGAACACCAGUGGCGAAGGCGGCCUACUGGACGGUGACUGACGCUGAGGCUCGAAAGCGUGGGGAGCAAACAGGAUUAGAUACCCUGGUAGUC
rnacentral:rRNA from 1 species